rnacentral:lncRNA from 1 species
GACCAUUUCAUUUUGCCCAGCAAUAGCCUAGAAUCUGGCACCUGUAGGACUAAAGACCGGGAAUAGCCUGGAAGAAGUGGGUGGGGAGCGCCAGGCAGGGCAGACCAGAUCGCAAAGGAAAAAACCCUGGCGUGCAAGCACCGAUAGGAGAGGAAAUGUUUGCUCAGCUGUAAAGGAGGGAGAGAAAAGGGAGAAAGCACAGGCGGCGUGGCAGGUCUUGUUUCAGUGAGAAUGUAAAGUACGUGAGCUAUGUGCUUUGUGAUGAAGUCGUUGAUUUAUUUCACUUUGGAACAAGCACACCACAACAAAGUGAGAAUGAGAAGGUAAUUCAGAGGGAGAAGA